rfam:Schistosoma haematobium scaffold346_7, whole genome shotgun sequence.
AUCCAGCUAACAGGUCGCAAAUAAGACGAAACACCCGUCCUGGAU